rnacentral:rRNA from 1 species
UUGUUAGUUGCUAUGGGCGUUCGGUGGAUGUCUUGGCAUGAGUGGCUGAUGAAGGACGUGGCGGCCUGCGUUAUUCCCUGGGGAGUUGGCGAGCGAGCGUUGAUCUGGGGGUUUCCGAAUGGGGUAACCUAGCCUCCUGUUUUGGGGGUUACUGCGCACUGAAUUGAUAGGUGUGUGGGAGGUACGAGGGGAAGUGAAACAUCUUAGUACCCUUAGGAGAAGAUAUUUCGUGAGUAGUGGUGAGCGAAAGCGGAUGAUGGCUAAACCGUGUGCGUGUGAUACUCGGCAGGGGUUGCGUGUGCGGUGUUGUGGGGUCUUUUUGUUGCUUGUCUGCCGGCGAGUAGAUUCCGGGAUGAUUGUUUUGGCGAAGGGUUUGGAAUGGCCUGCCGUAGUGCGUGAGAGUCGUGUAGUUUUUGAUGAUUGUUCUGGUUUGGAGAAGGUGCCCGAGUAGUGCGGGACUCGUGGAAUCUCGUGUGAAUCUGCCCAGACCACUGGGUAAGCCUGAAUACUUACUUGUGACCGAUAGUGGAUUAGUACCGUGAGGGAAUGGUGAAAAGUACCCCGGGAGGGGAGUGAAAUAGUUCCUGAAACCGGGCGCUUACAAGCCGUCAGAGCCUGUUUGUUGGGUGAUGGCGUGCCUAUUGAAGAAUGAGCCUGCGAGUUAGUGGCAUGUGGCUUGGUUAACCCGUGUGGGGUAGUCGUAGCGAAAGCGAGUCUGAUAAGGGCGUUUGGUCGCGUGUUCUAGACCCGAAGCGGGGUGAUCUACGCAUGGUCAGGUUGAAGCUAUGGUAAGACGUGGUGGAGGACCGAACCCACUUCAGUUGAAAAUGGAGGGGAUGAACUGUGCGUAGGGGUGAAAGGCCAAUCAAACUCCGUGAUAGCUGGUUCUCCCCGAAAUGCAUUUAGGUGCAGCGUUGAGUUUAGGUUUGUGUGAGGUAGAGCUACUGGUUGGUCAAUGGGCCUUGUUGGUUACUGAGACCAGCCAAACUCCGAAUGCGCAUUAAACUAUUGCUUGGCAGUGAGACAGCGGGGGAUAAGCUUCGUUGUCAAAAGGGAAACAGCCCAGAUCGCCGGUUAAGGCCCCUAAGGGUAUGCUUAGUGGGAAAGGAUGUGUAGUUGCUGUGACAGCCAGGAGGUUGGCUUAGAAGCAGCCAUCCUUGAAAGAGUGCGUAAUAGCUCACUGGUUUAGUGAUUGCGCGCCGAUAAUUUAGCGGGGCUUAAGCAUACCGCCGAUACCGUGGCUUCCAUACGUGUGCUGGCUGCUCUUUGUUGGGUGGUUGGUGUGUGGUUGGGUAGGGGAGCGUCCUGCAUGAGGUGAAGUUUCGGAGUGAUCCGGGGUGGAUUGUGUGGGAGUGAGAAUGCAGGCAUGAGUAGCGAUUGAGAAGUGAGAAUCUUUUCCGUCUUAUAACUAAGGGUUCCAGGGGUAGGUUCGUCCGCUCUGGGUUAGUCGGGUCCUAAGGCGAGGCCGUCAGGCGUAGUCGAUGGUUAACCAGUUUUUAUUCUGGUACCGGCAUAUUCUCGUUCAGUGGUGAGGCGCAUAGUACUAACCAAUAUUUACUGCUGGUUUUCCCUUUCGGGGGUUUGCUGGUGGUGGUCUUGGGACCGAUGUGUGUAGUAGUCAAGCGUGUUAACAGGGGUGACGCAGUUAGAUAGCUCAGCGUCGUGAUGGUUUACGGCGUUCAAGCAUGUGGCCUAUCGGGUUGGUAAAUCCGCUCGUGUUUGGGUGAGGUGUGAUGGUGACCUGUUUUUGUGGGGAUAUUGGGUGAUUCUGUGCUGUCUAGAAAAGCCUCGGCGUUAGAGGGUGUGUUGCCCGUACCCUAAACCGACACAGGUGGUUUGGUAGAGAAUACUAAGACGUGCGAGUGAAUCAUGGUUAAGGAACUCGGCAAAAUGCCUCCGUAACUUUGGGAGAAGGAGGACCCGGCCUUUUACAUUACCUUUGCGGUUUUGGUGGGGGUUGGGGCGCAGAGACCAGGGGGAAGCGACUGUUUAUCAAAAACAUAGGUGUGUGCGAAGCCGUAAGGCGAUGUAUACGCACUGACGCCUGCCCGGUGCUGGAAGGUUAAGAGGAACCCUUAAUCGGCUUUUGUUGGUGAAGGGGUGAAUUUAAGCCCCAGUAAACGGCGGUGGUAACUAUAACCAUCCUAAGGUAGCGAAAUUCCUUGUCGGGUAAGUUCCGACCUGCACGAAUGGCGUAA